GCCCUUCAUGUUUUUAAACAGUCAGUCCUGCUUUUCUAAGGUUUGUUCCCUUCUGGUACAGUGACAAAACUGGUAUUUGACGGGGAUGUAUGUGUCAUUUUGAAGAGCUGGAAUGAUGUUCCACACACGGGACUGAAAUGCUUUGGUCUAACUAAAGUCUUGGGGUAUCUGGGUGGAAAUUAACAGCCUGUGACAUAGAGGAGUGUCCGCCAAGAGGGCUGUGGAAAUGCCCUAGAAGAACAAAAGGAGAGGUGUUUGAAGCUACUGUGCAAAAAUCUCUGACCCAAGGGGAGCCUUUUGGCCAUGGGACCUGAACACACUAAGAAGAGCUUGUUGCAUGGGCAGAGAGACAAGGCCUGAAGCUUGAGCAGAAGAGGAGGGUCUUGGGACCCUCAAAGGACUGAUCAAAACCCACAGGGUUCUCAGUGUUGGGAGGACACUACGGGAAGGGGUUUGAAUGCAGAUGUUUCAAUAUAGCUGGAAGGGUUUUAUAAACGUGUGCAUGCGUUUCAGAA